UACGUAGGGACCAAGCGUUGUUCGGAUUUACUGGGCGUAAAGGGCGCGUAGGCGGUCAGCACAAGUCAGUUGUGAAAUCUCCGAGCUUAACUCGGAAAGGUCAACUGAUACUGUGCGACUAGAGUGCGGAAGGGGCAACUGGAAUUCCUGGUGUAGCGGUGGAAUGCGCAGAUAUCAGGAAGAACACCCGUGGCGAAGGCGGCUCUCUGGGACGGUACUGACGCUGAGACGCGAAAGCGUGGGGAGCGAACAGG
rnacentral:rRNA from 1 species